UACGUAGGGUGCAAGCGUUGUCCGGAAUUACUGGGCGUAAAGAGCUCGUAGGUGGUUUGUCGCGUUGGUCGUGAAAACCGGGGGCUUAACCCUCGGCGUGCGGGCGAUACGGGCAGACUUGAGUACUGCAGGGGAGACUGGAAUUCCUGGUGUAGCGGUGGAAUGCGCAGAUAUCAGGAGGAACACCGGUGGCGAAGGCGGGUCUCUGGGCCACUACUGACGCUGAGAAGCGAAAGCAUGGGGAGCAAACAGG
rnacentral:rRNA from 1 species